UUUUGAGGCUGGUGCACAUCAGAAGUGGCAUUCAGCUGGGAAUAACACAGAUUCUGCAUCUCAGCCUUAUUAAAUAAAGACAACUCUAUUUAAUGUGAAAUGAAUGGUAUGGAAACUGCGGCAGAUCGUGAAGAAAGAAGGAAGAACCAGUGAGAGCGGGGACAAGGGAGAAGAAAGAAGAACAGAGGCGUGAACGUGACUGUGGUCCUUCAGGUGGUGGUAAAAAGAAAUGCUUUAAAUCUGAAGAUGCAUGGAUGAUUAAGUUCAUUCAAAAUAUUUUGUGUUCUCUCUGACUUUCUGUGAAGAAUCUCACACUCGGGAAAGCUAAAAAUGCUCGUAUAUAGCCUAGAUUGUCAUAGCAGAAUGGAAGAACACCAUGUUGAUACAGGAUUCCCUGAGCUCUGAGGGAAAAGAUUUGAUGGAGGCCUAGAAUUUUGACUCUCUCUCCACAUAAUGUCUGGCUGUGGGUUUCUGCAUCUGUUCCCAUCUGCUUCCAGAGAAAGCUUCUCUGAUGAUGA